rnacentral:rRNA from 1 species
UACGAAGGGGGCUAGCGUUGCUCGGAAUUACUGGGCGUAAAGGGCGCGUAGGCGGCACUGUUAGUCAGGCGUGAAAGUCCUGGGCUCAACCUGGGAACUGCGCUUGAUACGGCAGAGCUAGAGGAUGGAAGAGGCUCGCGGAAUUCCCAGUGUAGAGGUGAAAUUCGUGGAUAUUGGGAAGAACACCGGUGGCGAAGGCGGCGAGCUGGUCCAUUACUGACGCUGAGGCGCGACAGCGUGGGGAGCAAACAGG